GACGAACGCUGGCGGCGUGCUUAACACAUGCAAGUCGAACGGAAAGGCCCUGCUUUUGUGGUGUGCUCGAGUGGCGAACGAGUGAGUAACACGUGAGUAACCUGCCCUUGACUUUGGGAUAACUUCAGGAAACUGGGGCUAAUACCGGAUAGGAGCUCCUGCUGCAUGGUGGGGGUUGGAAAGUUUCGGCGGUUGGGGAUGGACUCGCGGCUUAUCAGCUUGUUGGUGGGGUAGUGGCUUACCAAGGCUUUGACGGGUCGCCGGCCUGAGAGGGUGACCGGCCACAGUGGGACUGGGGUAGGGCCCAGACUCCUACGGGAGGCAGCAGUGGGGAAUAUUGCAAGAUGGGCGGAAGCCUGAUGCAGCAACGCCGCGUGCGGGAUGACGGCCUUCGGGUUGUAAACCGCUUUCGCCUGUGACGAAGCGUGAGUGACGGUAAUGGGUAAAGAAGCACCGGCUAACUACGUG
rnacentral:rRNA from 1 species